GGGUCAAUGAUGAGAACUUUAUAUUGUCUGAAGAGAGGUGAUGACAUAAUAAUCAUGCUCAAUAGGAAUACGCUCUGACCU
ensembl:snoRNA SNORD115 Small nucleolar RNA SNORD115